GGGGAGAAAGGGUUAGAAGCCUGGGAGAGCAGGAGUGAGAAAAAGCCAACCCAGAAGGUAGGAAGGAGGCAAAAGCCCGGGUGGGCGUUAAGGAAGCCGGGCAAGGAAUGAGGUUAGGGCUGGGAAAAGGGAUCCUGGGGUUAGGUGUAAGAGCGGGGGUUUGAAAGGGAAAGCUUUGUAGGGGGUGGUGUUGGGGUGCGGGAUACCGGGGUAGGAGUUGGAAGUGGAAGACUAGGAGGGGCAGAGCUGGGGUAAUAGUUGGGAGUAGGGAAGAGAGUGAUUAAGAGCCAGACGUGACAAGGGUGUGAACUAGUGCGGAGCGAGAUGAGCUGAAGGACUAGGACCAGCGGUGUGGUGGGAACUGCUGCUGAGGUUCUGCGAAAGGAAUGGGUUAGUGGGUGGGCGAUUGGUGUAAAUUCUGUAAAGUGAGGGAGGGCAAAUGAGACCUGGACUGGAACCAGGUGAAGUCAGGAAUAAGAGUGGUGGAAGGGCGAAAGGAAACAGAUAAGAGAUGGGUGUCUGUAGAACAAUUCUAGGACCAGAAGAGCUGAAAGGAGACUAGAGUUAGGGUGUAAGAAGUGAUGGCUGUCUGGGACAAGGAUAACUGGGGAAAUACGUUAACUGAAGAGGUUCAGCAAGAUCCAAGGUGAAAACAGUGAGGUGAAGAGACACGGCUAAAAGCAGACGGUGAGAGGAGCAGGAAGAGAUGGGUCCCAGGAUUUAAAGGAUGUGAUGGGGAGUAAGGGAAGAGAAGGGGGCUAAGGGAAGCUGAGAGAGUCCUGAUGGAUGUAGAAUGGGGGUAGACUGCACAGGGGUGGGAAUUGAAUGUGAGUGUUGUAGGUAGUUGCUCCGGAAGGUCUGCAAGGGUCAGGGCACAAAUGUUGUAGUGAAAGAUCAAGUGUAAGAGAACCUUUGGUGCAGAAGAGGAGGAACCAUGCUUUUCUAUUUCUUCAUGAUUCAGUCUUGGUAAGUGUUGUGUUUUUACAAGAAUUUAUCCAUUUCUUCUAGGGUUAUCCAGU
rnacentral:lncRNA from 13 species